rnacentral:rRNA from 1 species
UUUCCCUGGACCCUCGAGGUCCCUGAAGAGCCCUCGAAGACUACGAGGUUGAUAGGCUGGGUGUGGAAGUUCAGUAAUGGAUGAAGCUAACCAGUACUAAUUGCUCGUGAGGCUUGGCCAU